ACCCACUAACUAGUGACCGAAUGUGUCCAUGCCAAUUUCAAUGGUAUAAUUGCAUUAUAAGUACCCCACAUUAAAAGAACAAAGCAAUUAGACACUUUAACAAUUAGCAUGCAAAUUUUACAUUUUUUGCGAUUAAACCCUUUUUAUUUAAUUAAGCACACAAACAAUCAAAUUUUCAUACGAAAUUUUCACACAUGCAAAUUCACAUAUAAUAAACAUGAAAAAUAAUAUUUAAAUAUAUUUUUACUCAGAUUCGUGGUCUUAAAACCAGCAUUCCGAUUAAGGUCUAAAUCGGACUGUUACAGAUUGUUCACCUACCAAUAAGAAACGUGAGCUAGGUUUAGACUAUCGUGAGACAGGUUAGUUUUACCCUACUGAUGGCUGCAUUGCAAUAGUAAUUCAACCUAGUACGAGAGAAACAGUUGAUUUGCACGAUUGUCAUCGCGAUUGGUUGAAAAACCAGUGGCGCGAAGCUACUGUGCGCUAGAUUAUGACUCAAAGCCUCUAAGUCAGAAUUUGGGCUAGAAGUGACAAACGCGCCCGUUGCCUGAUUACUGACCCACAAUAAGGGCCUUUGGCCCCCAAGGGCACGUGUCGUAGGUGCAGCGACUGCGGCAGUCAAGUCACGGGUGCCUCCUUGGAGCAUAAUUCCCACUGAGCGGUGGGUAGAAUCCUUUACAGAUGACUUAAAUACGCGACGGGUAUUGUAAGUGGUAGAGUGGCCUUGCUACUUCGAUUCGUCCUUCCCCCGAUCCGG
rnacentral:ncRNA from 1 species